AAUGAACGCUGGCGGCAUGCCUUACACAUGCCAGUCGAACGGCAGCAUGACCUAGCUUGCUAGGUUGAUGGCGAGUGGCGAACGGGUGAGUAAUGCAUCGGAACGUGCCUUUUAGUGGGGGAUAACGUAGCGAAAGUUACGCUAAUACCGCAUAUUCUCUGAGGAGGAAAGCAGGGGACCUUCGGGCCUUGCGCUAGAAGAGCGGCCGAUGUCGGAUUAGCUAGUUGGUGAGGUAAAGGCUCACCAAGGCAACGAUCCGUAGCGGGUCUGAGAGGAUGAUCCGCCACACUGGGACUGAGACACGGCCCAGACUCCUACGGGAGGCAGCAGUGGGGAAUUUUGGACAAUGGGCGCAAGCCUGAUCCAGCCAUGCCGCGUGAGUGAAGAAGGCCUUCGGGUUGUAAAGCUCUUUCGGCUGGGAAGAAAUCGCACCCUCUAAUACAGGGUGUGGAUGACGGUACCAGCAUAAGAAGCACCGGCUAACUACGU
rnacentral:rRNA from 1 species